rnacentral:rRNA from 1 species
GACGAACCGUGCAAACGUUAUUCGGAAUCACUGGGCUUAAAGCGUGCGUAGGCGGCUAAGAAAGUUGGGUGUGAAAUCCCUCGGCUCAACCGAGGAAUUGCGCUCAAAACUACUUAGCUUGAGGGAGUUAGAGGUGAGCGGAACUAAUGGUGGAGCGGUGAAAUGCGUUGAUAUCAUUAGGAACACCGGUGGCGAAAGCGGCUCACUGGGACUCUUCUGACGCUGAGGCACGAAAGCUAGGGUAGCGAACAGG